UACAGAGGUCUCAAGCGUUGUUCGGAUUCAUUGGGCGUAAAGGGCGCGUAGGCGGCGAGGUAAGUCGGGUGUGAAAUCUCAGGGCUCAACCCUGAAACUGCACUCGAUACUGCUCUGCUUGAGGACUGGAGAGGAGACUGGAAUUCACGGUGUAGCAGUGAAAUGCGUAGAUAUCGUGAGGAAGACCAGUGGCGAAGGCGGGUCUCUGGACAGUUCCUGACGCUGAGGGCGCGAAGGCCAGGGGAGCAAAGCG
rnacentral:rRNA from 1 species